AACCGCUCGAAAAAAUUUGCGGCGUUUUCUGCUCAAUGAGAUAUUUAAUAGCCGCAGUACUCUGACUGUGCAAAGGUAGCAUAAUAAUUUGGCUUUUAAUUAAGGUCUGGUAUGAAUGAAGGAAUGGGAAGAUACUCUAUCAAUUGACUAAGUGGAAAUUACUUAUGGGGUGAAAAUUCCCCUAAAUAAAUAUUAGACGAGAAGACCCUUGAAAUUUUGCUAAUUGUUUUGUUGGGGCGACAAAGUAACAUAAUUAACUUGCUUGCUAUGGAUUGGAUUUUUUUGUAAUGAGGAAAUAAAUUACUCAAGGGAUAACAGCAUAAUUAAUAAUUAGUUUGUGACCUCGAUGUUGGACUAGGAAAGUUUAACCUAAAAGGUAAUAAUUAUUGCUCUGUUCGAGCAUUUACUCCUACGUGAUCUGAGUUCCAGACCGGA
rnacentral:rRNA from 1 species